CCGACGGUGAGAGGCGAAAGCUGGGGGAGCAAACCGGAUUAGAUACCCGGGUAGUCCCAGCUGUAAACGAUGCGCGUUAGGUGUGUCAGUGACCACGUGUCACUGAUGUGCCGAAGGGAAACCGUGAAACGCGCCGCCUGGGGAGUACGGUCGCAAGGCUGAACUUAAAGGAAUUGGCGGGGGAGCACCACAACGGGUGGAGCCUGCGGUUUAAUCGGACUCAACGCCGGAAAUCUCACCGGAUAAG
rnacentral:rRNA from 1 species